rnacentral:rRNA from 1 species
GACGAACGCUGGCGGCGUGCUUAACACAUGCAAGUCGAACGGAAAGGCCCUGCUUUUGUGGGGUGCUCGAGUGGCGAACGGGUGAGUAACACGUGAGUAACCUGCCCUUGACUUUGGGAUAACUUCAGGAAACUGGGGCUAAUACCGGAUAGGAGCUCCUGCUGCAUGGUGGGGGUUGGAAAGUUUCGGCGGUUGGGGAUGGACUCGCGGCUUAUCAGCUUGUUGGUGGGGUAGUGGCUUACCAAGGCUUUGACGGGUAGCCGGCCUGAGAGGGUGACCGGCCACAUUGCGACUGAGAUACGGCCCAGACUCCUACGGGAGGCAGCAGUGGGGAAUAUUGCACAGUGGGCGGAAGCCUGAUGCAGCAACGCCGCGUGCGGGAUGACGGCCUUCGGGUUGUAAACCGCUUUCGCCUGUGACGAAGCGUGAGUGACGGUAAUGGGUAAAGAAGCACCGGCUAACUACGUG